UGCACAUACGGAUGCGGGUGGGAUUAUCCUUCUCUUGCAAGAUGACAAGGUCAGUGGCCUUCAGCUUCUCAAAAAUGGCCAAUGGGUGGAUGUGCCUCCAAUGCGCCAUUCCAUUGUUGUUAACCUUGGUGACCAAAUUGAGGUAUGUACCUUUUUCUUUCAAUAAUGGUUAUGUCCCUAAAGCAUAACACAGUACUUAUAGUAAUUGUCGUUCAACAUUUUGGUCUAAUAUCAUAGGUCAUCACCAAUGGGAGAUACAAGAGUGUGGAGCAUCGUGUGAUUGCCCAAACGAAUGGGACCAGAAUGUCCGUAGCCUCAUUCUACAACCCUGCCAGUGAUGCUCUUAUCUACCCUGCACCAGUAUUGUUGGAGCAAAAGGCAGAGGAUACAGAACAAGUGUAUCCAAAAUUUGUAUUUGAGGAUUACAUGAAGCUCUAUGCUACACUCAAGUUCCAGCCUAAGGAGCCCAGAUUUGAAGCCAUGAAGGCUGUUGGCUCAUUUUAGAUUACUUCCAAUUACGACUGCUCAAUUGCAAGAAGAAAUUUUAUUAAUUGAGAAAAUAUGAAAAGAAUUAAGAAAUAGAAAUUAAGCUUGGAAAUGUUUAUUUAUUGAUACAAUUUGUUGUUUACAGUGGUUGAUUUGAUUUGCUUGUAUUUUGAUAAAGGAAAAUAACCAAAUUAUUCAAAUAAUAUGCAAUUUUACUGUUCUUUCUCUCCUAUCUUGACCUCUUAAUAUUUCCAAUAAUUUUUAUUAUUUCCUUUUUGGGGGAAAUUUUUUCAAUGGUUUGGGGUCUUCAUGACUAUUUUUCUUUUUACAUUAUUAGUUACUCAUGGAUGACAAGUGAGAGUUGGAUUAUUGUUAUUUUGAUAUCUGAAUGGACUUUUACGCAUACACCAUCAGCUAUUAUACACACGCUGAAUUAUCUUUGUGUACCGUUAACUGGCACGUAAAUAGAUAGUAUAUCAUGUAUUUUAAUUCAAGUCUUUUAAUGAUAGGAAUAGAAUGACAGACAAAUAAUACUUUUAAGGUUUUUUUUUAAAAAAAUUUAAUACUUUCAUAAAAACUUAAAGUGGCAAUCAAUUACACUCUCGAGAAUCAAAUUCUCCAUUCACCCAUUUAUUUUUAAAAAAGUUGAGGAUGAAUAACAUCAACAUUAUUAUAUUGAAGGGUUUUAAUUGAGAUAGAGAGUUUUAAUUGGACGAGCAGGAAAUAAGACAUUGUGAGACGGAUGAUUUCAGUCAUUUGCAAAAUCACUUAAAUGAUGUCCAUUUCUCUCAUGGAGGAGGAUUAGAACAUCUUAAUAAACACCAUUUAAAAUCAAAGUGUUUUUCAGUAUUGCGGACAUUCUUCCCCAAUGAAAAAUAAAACCAACAAAUUCAUAAAAAAUAAGUUUUUUCCUUUUUGUUUCUAUACAUUUUGCAAAAAAGUUGAAGGUUACUUAUCUACCCGUUGUUUAUUUCUAAUUUUUAUAAAAAUAGAGAGGAAGGAAAUUGAAAUAAAAUCAGAUACAAAUAUCAAUUUUUCAUUAUUUAUUUGAAAGAAAAAAUAGAAAUGACGAGUUUUUAUGGCAAGAAUCUCCCUCAAAUUGGCAUGAACUAAUAAAUUUUUAUGUUAAGAUAAAAAAAUUGUUGAUUAAAAAGUUUCUUUUAACAUAUAGUAUUCAUUCUCACCUUAUGAUAUAUGAAUAACUCAAGACCAUAUCAUUGGAUCGAUAAAAAUAUUUUUUAUUAUCAUGAUUCAUUCUUAGUCAUAUGUUUAGAUAUACGAUAUAUUAAGUUUUAAAUGUUAUUCCAUAAAAUUAUAAAAAAAAUUUAUUUAGACUCACAUUUACAAUUUGCGUAUAAUUUUAUUUAUUGAGAUUUUACCAAAUUUCACUGCAUGAUGCCCAUUUGAAAGAAAGAAGAAAUCUAACUUUGACAAGUGUCAAGAGCAGCCACCAGCAAUGGCAUGAACCUGACAUGUCUAGUGUUUUUUUUUUUUAAUUAAAAGUUACUUUCGAAUUAAAAUUAUAAAUAAUAAGUUUAAAACUAAAGUAGAAUUUGCAGACAAUUUUCAUCUUUUUAAUUUAAAAGAAAUGUCUUAAACAAAGUAGAGAAAAAAUAAAAGAAAAAAGAGAAAACGAUUUUUUAUUUUAAAAAAUAUUUUUUUCUUUCCUUAAUAGAAAUUAAGUUACUAACUUUUAAGAUUUUUCAGCAAAUAUAUUUAACUUAAUUUCUCUUUUAAAAAUUAAAAAAUAAACUGACUGGAGCGCCACUUAGAUGGCACUGUAUAACAAGAACCUGAGACUAUUUUGGUCCACAUAUUCUGCUUUCACUUCCUUUUCUAACAUUCCUAUGGUUUGUUUCCACACGUGACAAAAAUAACGUACAAAGUACGUAUGCCCGUGAUAGCCUCCAGUUCCCCAUAGUUAAAAGACAAUAUUCGAUUUAUAUUUGGACUUAAAGAGUCUUAAUUCAAUUUUUUUGUGCUGAGAAAAAACUAUGAUAAAGAUAAAGAUGAAGAGACCCCGAUGGACAGGAUAUAUAUUCUGACUAAAAGUUUUCCAGAUGGGGUCUUAAAAACUUAUUUAAGAAUUAUCCUAUCAGUUAGACGCCACAGCUUAAUACCUUAUUUAACUUAUCUUUAUUUUGGUGGCUCCUAUUAGUAUUAUUAGUCAAGUGGUGAAAGGAUCCAAAAGAGAAAGACAACUAGUUUAGGCAGAGAUAUAUCUUUGUUUCCUUUUAAAAUUUGUAUCAAUAUCUGUUUUUCAGCAAAGAAAUUGUCCAGUGAUAAUUUUCAACUAAUGGGGUCCAAUUACAUUGUUAAUGUUCAAUUACAUCUUAGAACCUAAGCCUAAAACAAUGUGAUUUUCUUUUUUCUUUUGGUGAAUUAUGAAAUUUUUCUUUUUUUAUUGAGACUUCUAACUUGGACUUUUUUUUUUUUACCAAAGUAGGUGAAGACAAAAAAUAAUUAACUGAAAAGAUUCUUUUUUUAUCCUGGAUUGUCCUAUGAUGGUGUAAUUUUUUUUUUUUUUACAUUUAUAUGUAAGAUCCAUGUAAAAAGUUAAAAAUAACUACUACUUGAAGGCAUCACUCAGUAAUUUUUUCCGCUACAAGGCAAACACACGUCAGAAAACAAUUCCUAUAAAUUGUUCUCAUACUAUUUGAAUAAAUAAUUUCCAAAAACUACCUUAGUGAAAAAGUCUUGUAGGCUAUGUUGUAAUCAAUUUUAGAUGGAGGUAGAUUUUGAGUGUACCAAAUAAAAUAAUCGGAUGGCAAAUCUAUUGUUACACAAGUACUGUUAGAUGUUUGAAUAAGCAGUUCACACGGUUUUUUAAAUCGUUCAUUAAUAACAUAAAUGCUGUUAAAACCUUAGAACUUCAUUUGCUUAUGCCACCUUCUAAGAAACCACAUGCUUAAAUGCCUUAGUACAAUUUAAGGGAAGAUGCAAGGAAGGUUGGUUUCGCCUCCAGAUGAGUCAAACGGUACCAGAAUAUAGAAUUCAAGGAUGCAAAAUGAUCUCGUGGCAUAGAUUGGCUUAACAAAGUAAGUAAGCAUGCAUCUCAUGAUUCAUCAUGAAUCACAUGGGAGAAUUUCACUUGUCCUCACUACACACUCUUUUGCAUUCCUAUAAAUGGCACACACCUAGCAUCCCAAUAUGCAUCAACAAAACACAUUAACAUUUCUCAGAAGAAAAAAAAGUGAGAGAUGGAGAACUUUCCCGUGAUCAACUUGGAGAAUCUCAACGGUGAGGAGAGGAAGGCUACCCUUAACCAGAUUGAAGAUGCUUGCCAGAACUGGGGAUUUUUUGAGGUACCCCACGAACCUGAUCAAAAGGCUUUGUUAUAUUAUAUAUAUAUAUAUAUAUAUAUAUAUAUAUAUAUAUCAUUUGCAAGUGUACAUCCCAAAAUUUUCUUCAUGUUGUUCAUUUGAACUAUAUUAAUUAUGUUGCUAUAUAUCCCGAAUUGUAGUUGGUGAGUCAUGGAAUACCCCUUGAACUAUUGGAUACUGUGGAAAGGUUAACAAAAGAGCAUUAUAGGAAAUGCAUGGAGAAGAGGUUCAAGGAGGCAGUGUCAAGCAAAGGGUUAGAAGCUGAAGUGAAGGACAUGGAUUGGGAAAGCACGUUCUUCUUGCGCCAUCUCCCAACCUCCAACAUCUCCGAAAUCCCAGAUCUCAGCCAAGAGUAUAGGUAAAAACAAAUUAAAAACUAAGAAAUACAUUUACAUGAAUAAUGAAAUAUUGUUGAUGGCAUAUUGGCAUAUAUAUUAUAUAAUUAUGUUUUCAUUACCAAUACUCCAACAGUAACAAAACAAUGCUGCAUUAAUUAACUGUGUGAUUUGUGUGACAAAUUUGAUAAUGUGAUGCAUAUCUACACAUGACAUGGUCUGAACUGUGAGUUAAUGAUGCAGGGAUGCAAUGAAGGAAUUUGCACAGAAAUUGGAGAAACUAGCAGAGGAGUUGCUAGACCUGUUAUGUGAAAAUCUUGGAUUAGAAAAAGGGUACUUGAAAAAUGCAUUUUAUGGAUCAAGAGGUCCAAAUUUUGGGACAAAGGUAGCAAACUACCCUGCAUGCCCAAAGCCAGAGUUGGUGAAGGGUCUUCGUGCACAUACGGAUGCGGGUGGGAUUAUCCUUCUCUUGCAAGAUGACAAGGUCAGUGGCCUUCAGCUUCUCAAAAAUGGCCAAUGGGUGGAUGUGCCUCCAAUGCGCCAUUCCAUUGUUGUUAACCUUGGUGACCAAAUUGAGGUAUGUACCUUUUUCUUUCAAUAAUGGUUAUGUCCCUAAAGCAUAACACAGUACUUAUAGUAUUGUCGUUCAACAUUUUGGUCUAAUAUCAUAGGUC
rnacentral:lncRNA from 1 species